GACCUAAACCAAGCGUUAGCUCGGCAUGGUCUCAAAUCUACAAGAAGGAACAGCUCGUCAUGAGUACUUCUUCUUGUAGUUAUUACUGGAAACGGUAGUAGGUAGCUUCGGCUAUC
rnacentral:sRNA from 1 species